CAGCUAGGAGAAUAAACUGGAAAGUUUAACCGAAGAAAGUGAUAGUCUUGUAACCGAAAGCUCUGUUUUCUCUUAAGUUUUUUCCCAAGUAGCAUGAGGCACGUGGAAUCUCGUGUGAAUCUGCGAGGACCACCUCGUAAGGCUAAAUAUUCCUGAAUGACCGAUAGUGAACUAGUACCGUGAGGGAAAGGUGAAAAGAACCCCGGGAGGGGAGUGAAAUAGAACAUGAAACCUUAAGCUUACAAGCAGUAGGAGGACGACUUAUCGUUUGACUGCGUGCCUGUUGAAGAAUGAGCCGGCGACUUAUAGUUAGUGGCAGGUUAAGGUAGAGAAUACUGGAGCCACAGUGAAAGCGAGCUUUAAUAGAGCGUGUGUCACUAGUUAUAGACCCGAACCCGGAUGAUCUAACCAUGGCCAGGAUGAAGCCUAGGUAAUACUAUGUGGAGGUCCGAACCGACUGAUGUUGAAAA
rnacentral:rRNA from 1 species